CAAUAGCGUAUAUUUAAGUUGUUGCAGUUAAAAAGCUCGUAGUUGGAUUUUGGGUCGGGGGCACCGGUCCGCCGUUCCGGUGUGCACUGGUGGCCCCUUCCUUUCUGCCGGGGACGUGCGUCGCACUUAAUUGGGUGGCGUUCGGAGUCGGCGUUGUUACUUUGAAAAAAUUAGAGUGUUCAAAGCAAGCCAUCGCUCUGAAUACAUUAGCAUGGAAUAACAUGAUAGGACUCCGGUCUUAUUUUGUUGGUUUCCGAGACUGGAGUAAUGAUUGAGAGGGACAGUCGGGGGCAUCCGUAUUUCAUUGUCAGAGGUGAAAUUCUUGGAUUUAUGAAAGACGAACUUCUGCGAAAGCAUUUGCCAAGGAUGUUUUCAUUAA
rnacentral:rRNA from 1 species